UACCCUUGUAGCUCAACUAGUAGAGCAGCCACUUACAAAGCGGAAGGAUGUGGGUGAAACUCCCACCGAGGUAA
rnacentral:tRNA from 1 species